rnacentral:rRNA from 1 species
AACGAACGCUGGCGGCAUGCCUAACACAUGCAAGUCGAACGAGACCUUCGGGUCUAGUGGCGCACGGGUGCGUAACGCGUGGGAACCUGCCCUUAGGUUCGGAAUAACUCCCCGAAAGGGGUGCUAAUACCGGAUAAUGUCUUCGGACCAAAGAUUUAUCGCCUUUGGAUGGGCCCGCGUUGGAUUAGCUAGUUGGUAGGGUAAAAGCCUACCAAGGCGACGAUCCAUAGCUGGUCUGAGAGGAUGAUCAGCCACACUGGGACUGAGACACGGCCCAGACUCCUACGCGAGGCAGCCGUGGGGAAUAUUGGACAAUGGGCGAAAGCCUGAUCCAGCAAUGCCGCGUGAGUGAUGAAGGCCUUAGGGUUGUAAAGCUCUUUUACCCGGGAUGAUACUGACAGUACCGGGAGAAUAAGCUCCGGCUAACUCCGUG